GAUUUUAACACGAAGUGAGUGGCGGACGGGUGAGUAACACGUGGGUAACCUGCCCAGAAGCAGGGGAUAACACCUGGAAACAGAUGCUAAUACCGUAUAACAGAGAAAACCGCCUGGUUUUCUUUUAAAAGAUGGCUCUGCUAUCACUUCUGGAUGGACCCGCGGCGCAUUAGCUAGUUGGUGAGGUAACGGCUCACCAAGGCGAUGAUGCGUAGCCGACCUGAGAGGGUAAUCGGCCACAUUGGGACUGAGACACGGCCCAGACUCCUACGGGAGGCAGCAGUAGGGAAUCUUCCACAAUGGACGCAAGUCUGAUGGAGCAACGCCGCGUGAGUGAAGAAGGGUUUCGGCUCGUAAAGCUCUGUUGUUAAAGAAGAACGUGGGUGAGAGUAACUGUUCACCCAGUGACGGUAUUUAACCAGAAAGCCACGGCUAACUACGUGCCAGCAGCCGCGGUAAUACGUAGGUGGCAAGCGUUAUCCGGAUUUAUUGGGCGUAAAGCGAGCGCAGGCGGUCUUUUAAGUCUAAUGUGAAAGCCUUCGGCUCAACCGAAGAAGUGCAUUGGAAACUGGGAGACUUGAGUGCAGAAGAGGACAGUGGAACUCCAUGUGUAGCGGUGAAAUGCGUAGAUAUAUGGAAGAACACCAGUGGCGAAGGCGGCUGUCUGGUCUGUAACUGACGCUGAGGCUCGAAAGCAUGGGUAGCGAACAGGAUUAGAUACCCUGGUAGUCCAUGCCGUAAACGAUGAUUACUAAGUGUUGGAGGGUUUCCGCCCUUCAGUGCUGCAGCUAACGCAUUAAGUAAUCCGCCUGGGGAGUACGACCGCAAGGUUGAAACUCAAAAGAAUUGACGGGGGCCCGCACAAGCGGUGGAGCAUGUGGUUUAAUUCGAAGCUACGCGAAGAACCUUACCAGGUCUUGACAUCUUCUGCCAACCUAAGAGAUUAGGCGUUCCCUUCGGGGACAGAAUGACAGGUGGUGCAUGGUUGUCGUCAGCUCGUGUCGUGAGAUGUUGGGUUAAGUCCCGCAACGAGCGCAACCCUUAUUACUAGUUGCCAGCAUUCAGUUGGGCACUCUAGUGAGACUGCCGGUGACAAACCGGAGGAAGGUGGGGACGACGUCAAAUCAUCAUGCCCCUUAUGACCUGGGCUACACACGUGCUACAAUGGAUGGUACAACGAGUUGCGAAACCGCGAGGUUUAGCUAAUCUCUUAAAACCAUUCUCAGUUCGGACUGUAGGCUGCAACUCGCCUACACGAAGUCGGAAUCGCUAGUAAUCGCGGAUCAGCAUGCCGCGGUGAAUACGUUCCCGGGCCUUGUACACACCGCCCGUCACACCANGNGAGUUUGUAACACCCAAAGCCGGUGGGGUAACCUUUUAGGAGCUAGCC
rnacentral:rRNA from 1 species